UACGGAGGGUGCAAGCGUUGCUCGGAAUUAUUGGGCGUAAAGGGUAGGUAGGUGGUCUUGUUUGUCUGGGGUGAAAGCCCUGAGCUCAACUCAGGAAGUGCCUCGGAAACGGCAAGACUAGAGUCCUGGAGAGGCUAGUGGAAUUCCCGGUGUAGCGGUGAAAUGCGUAGAGAUCGGGAGGAACACCAGAGGCGAAGGCGGCUAGCUGGACAGGAACUGACACUCAACUACGAAAGCGUGGGGAGCAAACAGG
rnacentral:misc_RNA from 1 species